GCCGCGGUAAUACGUAGGCGGCAAGCGUUGUCCGGAAUUAUUGGGCGUAAAGGGAGCGCAGGCGGGAAACUAAGCGGAUCUUAAAAGUGCGGGGCUCAACCCCGUGAUGGGGUCCGAACUGGUUUUCUUGAGUGCAGGAGAGGAAAGCGGAAUUCCCAGUGUAGCGGUGAAAUGCGUAGAUAUUGGGAAGAACACCAGUGGCGAAGGCGGCUUUCUGGACUGUAACUGACGCUGAGGCUCGAAAGCUAGGGUAGCGAACGGG
rnacentral:rRNA from 1 species